GAACGCUGGCGGUAGGCCUAACACAUGCAAGUCGAACGGCAGCACAGUAAGAGCUUGCUCUUACGGGUGGCGAGUGGCGGCCGGGUGAGGAAUACAUCGGAAUCUACUUUUUCGUGGGGGAUAACGUAGGGAAACUUACGCUAAUACCGCAUACGACCUACGGGUGAAAGCAGGGGAUCUUCGGACCUUGCGCGAUUGAAUGAGCCGAUGUCGGAUUAGCUAGUUGGCGGGGUAAAGGCCCACCAAGGCGACGAUCCGUAGCUGGUCUGAGAGGAUGAUCAGCCACACUGGAACUGAGACACGGUCCAGACUCCUACGGGAGGCAGCAGUGGGGAAUAUUGGACAAUGGGCGCAAGCCUGAUCCAGCCAUACCGCGUGGGUGAAGAAGGCCUUCGGGUUGUAAAGCCCUUUUGUUGGGAAAGAAAAGCAGCAGGUUAAUACCCCGCUGUUCUGACGGUACCCAAAGAAUAAGCACCGGCUAACUUCGUG
rnacentral:rRNA from 1 species